rnacentral:rRNA from 1 species
UACGGGGGGGGCAAGCGUUGUUCGGAAUUACUGGGCGUAAAGGGCUCGUAGGCGGCCAACUAAGUCAUGCGUGAAAUCCCUCGGCUUAACCGGGGAACUGCGUCUGAUACUGGAUGGCUUGAGUGUGGGAGAGGGAUGCGGAAUUCCAGGUGUAGCGGUGAAAUGCGUAGAUAUCUGGAGGAACACCGGUGGCGAAGGCGGCAUCCUGGACCAUUACUGACGCUGAGUGAGCGAAAGCCAGGGGAGCAAACGGG